rnacentral:rRNA from 1 species
UGGUUGAUCCUGCCGGAGGCUACCGCUAUUGGAGUUCGAUUAAGCCAUGCGAGUCGCGAGACUUAGAAUCUCGGCGUACCGCUCAGUAACACGUGGGUAACCUGCCCUAUGCUAGGGGAUAACCUCGGGAAACUGAGAAUAAUACCCUAUAGUUCACCACGGCUGGAACGGUGGGUGGAUGAAAGUUCCGGCGGCAUAGGAUGGGCCUGCGGCGUAUCAGGUUGUAGGGGGUGUAAUGUACCCUCUAGCCAUCUACGCGUACGGGUGUUGGGAGACAUCGCCCGGAGAUGGAUUCUGAGACACGAAUCCAGACCCUACGGGGUGCAGCAGGCGCGAAAACUUGGCAAUGCGAGAAAUCGUGACCAGGGAACUCCAAGUGCAUCGGGUAAGACCGAUGCUUUUCUUGACUCUUCAAAGGUCUUGGAAUAAGGGGUGGGUAAGGACGGUGCCAGCCGCCGCGGUAAUACCGGCGCCUCAAGUGGUAGUCGCUUUUAUUGGGCCUAAAACGUCCGUAGCCGGUUUGGUACAUUCGUGGGUAAAUCAAGGCGCUCAACGUCUUGAAUUCUGCGAGCACGGCCAGACUUGGGACCGGGUGAGGUGUGGGGUACUCUCAGGGUAGGGGUAAAAUCCUGUCAUCCUGAGAGGACCACCUGUUGCGAAG